AUCCACAAUCAGUGAAUGUGGUACCUUAAAGCCUGAUCACGCACCACUUCAUCAUCUAACACCUGUGCAUUUUGUGAUUGGCUUAAUGUAAUUGAUGAGCUAGAUGAACGUGGUGGCCUGGGUGGAGGUGGUCAUCCAGAUUAAGGUGACAAUCUAGAUAAAGGUGGUGGUCUAGAUAAAGGUGGUGGUCUAAAUAAAGGUGGUGGUCUAAAUAAAGGUGAUGGUCUACAUAAAGGUGGUGUUCUAGAUAAAGGUGGUGGUCUACAUAAAGAUGGUGAUCUACCUAAAGCAAGAUAAUUGAUGUUGAGGAUUAAGGUAUGAUGACCAGAAUACUAUCAAGAGGUGUCAAUAGGAGGAUGAUGUUAUGGAUGAAGGGUGACAGAGACAUUAUCAGGUGAUGAUGUGAGGAUGAUGUUUUAGACGAAGGCAGGC
ensembl:lncRNA